rnacentral:rRNA from 1 species
AUUGAACGCUGGCGGCAGGCCUAACACAUGCAAGUCGAGCGCGCGGCGGACGGGUGAGUACUGUAUGGGGACUGCCCGAUAGCGGGGGAUAACUACUGGAAACGGUAGCUAAUCCCGCAUACUAUCUCAUAACCCAUAUGGGAUUAGCUAGUAGGUGAGGUAAUGGCUCACCUAGGCGACGCUCCCUAGCUGGUCUGAGAGGAUGCUAAGCCACACUGGGACUGAGAAACGGCCCAGAAUCGAAGGGAGGGAGCAGUGGGGAGUAUUGCAAAAUGGGCGCAAGCCUGAUGCAGCCAUGCCGCGUGUAUGAAGAAGGCCUUAGGGUUGUAAAGUACUUUCAGUCGGGAGGCGUUACCGACAGAAGAAGCACCGGCUAACUCCGUGCCAGCAGCCGCGGUAAUAC